GUGGGGAAUAUUCCGCAAUGGACGAAAGUCUGACGGAGCAACGCCGCGUGAGUGAUGAAGGUUUUCGGACUGUAAAGCUCUGUUGUUUAGGACGAAAGUGCCUGUUGCGAACAGUUACAGGUAUUGACGGUACUAAACGAGGAAGCCACGGCUAACUACGUGCCAGCAGCCGCGGUAAUACGUAGGUGGCAAGCGUUGUCCGGAAUUAUUGGGCGUAAAGAGCAUGCAGGCGGAGAUUUAAGUCUGUUGUGAAAAUGCGGGGCUCAACCCCGUAUUGCGAUGGAAACUGAAUUUCUUGAGUGCAGGAGAGGAAAGGGGAAUUCCCAGUGUAGCGGUGAAAUGCGUAGAUAUUGGGAGGAACACCAGUGGCGAAGGCGCCUUUCUGGACUGUGUCUGACGCUGAGAUGCGAAAGCCAGGGUAGCGAACGGGAUUAGAUACCCCUGUAGUCC
rnacentral:rRNA from 1 species